CUAACUCCUGGAAGCUCCAUUCAUGCCCACCUACCGACCGAGGAAGACGCUACCGAUCCCUGAAUCGAGGGACUACGCGCUUUCAAUCCCUUACAGCUGCCUUCCAAGCCCUUCCACUGCCCGAACUACCAAUCGCCCCACUAUCUGCUAGUCUGGUUCGACUCGAACUUCUGUCAUGUCAAGCUUCCUGACCUGCUUUGUACCAGCCGGUAUUUUGUGUACUUCGGGGCGCUGACUAGCCCUGCUCAACGCCCUACACCCUUCUCUUGAGCGCUUCAUUGAGCAUUUCUCUUUCCUAUCCCGUCCUUACGCUACGCUAUCCAUAAGGUUGACCUAGCCCUCUCUUCUCUCUCUUUGUCCACGCGAAGAUUCCAUUCCUUUCCUUUCCUAGCCUAUUCAAUGUGGUCAUGUAUGUAAUAGAAUUCAAUGGGAAGACCUCC
rnacentral:lncRNA from 1 species